rnacentral:rRNA from 1 species
GACGUAGGGCGCGAGCGUUGUCCGGAUUUAUUGGGCGUAAAGAGCUCGUAGGCGGCUCGUUGCGUCGGCUGUGAAAAACCCGCAGCUCAACUGUGGGCUUGCAGCCGAUACGGGCGGGCUGGGAUUCGGUAGGGGAGACUGGAAUUCCUGGUGUAGCGGUGAAAUGCGCAGAUAUCAGGAGGAACACCGGUGGCGAAGGCGGUCUGCUGGGCAGUUGCUGACACUGAGGCGCGACAGCGUGGGGAGCAAACAGG